GGGGACUUGGCUCAGUGGUAGAGCGCUUGCCUAGCAAGCGCAAGGCCCUGGGUUCGGUCCCCAGCUCCG
rfam:Rattus norvegicus chromosome 1, whole genome shotgun sequence.